GAUGAACGCUGGCGGCGUGCCUAAUACAUGCAAGUCGAGCGAACAGACGAGGAGCUUUCUCCUUCGACGUUAGCGGCGGACGGGUGAGUAACACGUAGGUAACCUACCUAUAAGACUGGGAUAACUUCGGGAAACCGGCGCUAAUACCGGAUAAUAUUUCGAACCGCAUGGUUCGAUAGUGAAAGAUGGCUUUGCUAUCACUUAUAGAUGGACCUGCGCCGUAUUAGCUAGUUGGUAAGGUAACGGCUUACCAAGGCAGCGAUCCGUAGCCGACCUGAGAGGGUGAUCAGACACACUGGAACUGAGACACGGUCCAGACUCCUACGGGAGGCAGCAGUAGGGAAUCUUACGCAAUGGGCGAAAGCCUGACGGAGCAACGCCGCGUGAGUGAUGAAGGUCUUCGGAUCGUAAAACUCUGUUAUUAGGGAAGAACAAACGUGUAAGUAACUGUGCACGUCUUGACGGUACCUAAUCAGAAAGCCACGGCUAACUACGUG
rnacentral:rRNA from 1 species